rnacentral:rRNA from 1 species
AUUGAACGCUGGCGGCAGGCCUAACACAUGCAAGUCGAGCGGAGCGGCGGACGGGUGCGUAAUGCCUAGGAAUCUGCCUGGUAGUGGGGGAUAACGUCCGGCAACGGGCGCUAAUACCGCAUACUAUCAGAUGAGCCUAGGGCGGAUUAGCUAGGUGGUGGGGUAAAGGCCUACCAGGGCGACGAUCCGUAACUGGUCUGAGGGGAGGAUCAGUCACACUGGAACUGAGACACGGUCCAGACUCCUACGGGAGGCAGCAGUGGGGAAUAUUGGAAAAUGGGCGAAAGCCGGAUCCAGCCAUGCCGCGUGUGUGAAGAAGGUCUUCGGAUGGUAAAGCACUUUAAGUUGGGAGGCGGUACCAAAAGAAUAAGCACCGGCUAACUACGUGCCAGCCGCCGCGGUAAUAC